UAAUUGUGUGAAACAAUUUUC
rnacentral:piRNA from 1 species